AUAAUAGGUACUGUCGGCCUUUUACAUACCUUUCAUUUAUUAUGAUGGGAUAUAAAGUGAUGCGCAUGGUAAACGACUCAAAUAUUUUGUGUAUACAUCGCUAUCCCUCUGUGUAACCCGCACUGGAAGAAAGCCUGGUUCCUAAGCUUCUUGUUGAUAUCAAACAUGGACGACAAUUCAUUAAACAUCGUUCUUCUUGCAAUGUUUUACGGUCUAUGGACAGGGUAUUUAUGGGUAAAAUAUCAACAUUUUGUCCCGUAAAUUGGAACAAGUUAAAAAAUUCGUAUCACUAUGAAAUUAUGUAGACAAGCAGGGGACAACAUAUAUUUUACGACGCGAAGUCUGCAAAUUUCACGAAGGGUUCGAGGGAUACAUGCGGCCAGAGCAAAAUGUACGUUUUCAACGAUUUUCUCAAGUUUUAUUAUACUU